rnacentral:sRNA from 2 species
UCCUAGCCCGGAUUGCAGCGGCAUCCUUUUUGGUUGCGGCCGCAGCGAAGCGGAGGCCGUAACCAAAAAGAUAUAGUGGAAAGCCGGAAAUAGC